rnacentral:rRNA from 1 species
GAGGAGUCCGCGGCUGAUUAGCUAGUUGGUGAGGUAACGGCCCACCAAGGCGAAGAUCGGUAGCCGGCCUGAGAGGGCACACGGCCACACUGGCACUGAAAUACGGGCCAGACUCCUACGGGAGGCAGCAGUGGGGAAUCUUGCACAAUGGGGGAAACCCUGAUGCAGCGACGCCGCGUGAGCGAUGAAGCCCUUCGGGGUGUAAAGCUCUUUCGACGGGAACGAUGAUGACGGUACCCGGAGAAGAAGCUGCGGCUAACUACGUGCCAGCAGCCGCGGUAAUACGUAGGCAGCAAGCGUUGUUCGGAAUUACUGGGCGUAAAGAGUGCGUAGGUGGUGUUCCAAGUCUGGUGUGAAAUCUCCCGGCUCAACUGGGAGGGUGCGCCGGAAACUGGAAUGCUUGAGGGUGGGAGAGGUAAGCGGAAUUCCUGGUGUAGCGGUGAAAUGCGUAGAUAUCAGGAGGAACACCUGUGGUGUAGACAGCUUACUGGACCAUUUCUGACACUGAGGCACGAAAGCGUGGGUAGCAAACAGGAUUAGAU